rnacentral:rRNA from 1 species
UACGAAGGGGGGCUAGCGUUGCUCGGAAUGACUGGGCGUAAAGGGCGCGUAGGCGGUUCAUACAGUCAGAUGUGAAAUUCCCGGGCUUAACCUGGGGGCUGCAUUUGAUACGUGUGGGCUUGAGUGAGGAAGAGGGUUGUGGAAUUCCCAGUGUAGAGGUGAAAUUCGUAGAUAUUGGGAAGAACACCGGGUGGCGAAGGCGGCAACCAUCG